AGAGAGUUGGCUGAGUGGUAAGGCGACUAGCUUGAGUCUAGUUAAGUUAAAACUUUCAUAUGUUCGAAUCAUAUACUCUCUG
rnacentral:ncRNA from 13 species